AAAAGACCCCGGCCAUGGAUGGGAGACCUAGGACAAAGACGGAAAAGAGAAUCAACUCUGCCUUAGGCGAACAAUUUACCAUAAUAUUCUGAGACAGGAGUGGAAUAACACCUCCAGCCAUUACCUGCAAAUGAGAGCUGCUUUAGGCGGGCAUUUGAUCGAGCUUCCUGGACUUUAUCUGUCAAUGACUUCCAGGCAUCUGAAAGGAAAUAAAUAAAACCAUAAGCCAGAAAA